AUUUUUCCCAUCUUGCAGUUCAUUCAUAUUAGUUUAUAUCUUAAAUAUUUUGCUCACAGAUCACUAUUAACAUUCUGUAUAUAAUUCUGUUUUAUUUUCUCUCCCCUUGUAUUUAUUUUUUAGCUGAAAAGAUGUAAAGGAAGCAGUCAGCCCAGUCAUGUUUGUGGAGAGGUAUUCCUUCAGAAAUGGAGAAGACAGAAAGCUGCAGAGGCAGGAUUGUUUGCAGAUAAUGCUGUUCUUCUUUUUCAGAAGUUUUUGGGGAGCCAACCCUCACACACCUUCCUAAAAACUAAAAGAGCUAUUACUGAGUCUCAGUGAAUCUUGCCAUGAUCAGCUCUUCCCAGAAGAGAAGGAAGACCAAGGAAAUGAUUUGCUCAGGAUGAGGAAUGAAGACGGCCAUCUUGUGCUCAAACAAACAGAAGUCCACUGAUGAUCUCAUCAGCCAAAUGAGGGGUUUUGAUCAAGUGAUGCUCUUGAAAGGAGUGAAAGAAGAGGAUGUGGUAAAUUGUCUUCAGAGAAAAGGCUUCUCAAAAGGUCUUAAAACAGCUUGAAGAAUGGUCUGGGAUCUUAGGACUGAGAGAUCCUCUGGCUGAGAACAUGCUACACCACAUCGGUGCUGGAUAUCAACCACAAACUGUUUCCAGACACGAGAGAAGAAGAUCACGAUGGGGAGAUGAAACCAGUUUAGAUGU